CACGUAGGGGGCGAGCGUUGUCCGGAAUCAUUGGGCGUAAAGAGCUCGUAGGCGGCUCAGUAAGUCGGGUGUGAAACCCUCAGGCUCAACCUGGGGACGCCACCCGAUACUGCUGUGGCUAGAGUCCAGUAGGGGAGUGUGGAAUUCCCGGUGUAGCGGUGAAAUGCGCAGAUAUCGGGAGGAACACCAGCGGCGAAGGCGGCACUCUGGGCUGGAACUGACGCUGAGGAGCGAAAGCGUGGGUAGCAAACAGG
rnacentral:rRNA from 1 species